UCCCGCCCCGCGCUGCACCCCCGGGGCCACCAGGAGUGACCGUGGCCUGGCCGUGGCGCCCUCCCUCCCCGGGCGCCCUGCUAGCGGGCGCGGGCCCUGCUGGCUGCGGCGGCCAUAUUGUGGGCGGCCAUGCGGCUUCGGGGAGGCUGCGGGAGCAGGAUGUGGGGUGGCUGGGGUGCGAUGUAACGUCCUGGGGUGCACCCCCGGUCUCCAGAGAGGGGGACCCUCCGCCCUCCACCCCAGGCCACCUUCCUGUGCUGAGACAAGUCGCCUUCCCAAGUACCAUAUCGCUUCAUCAGCACAGCAGCCUCCGGCCGGGAGUGACAGCCCAUCUUUCGGAGGUGGAGGCUGAGGCUCCACAGGAAUCUGAGGCUCAGACAGGUGAGGUGACUUGCCUGAGGCUCCUUGGCCGGUGAGUGGUGGACAGAACUGCAUUGGAGACCAAAGCCCAGCAUUGGACAUCAGAACCCAGCUCGUGACCACUAAACUGGUGAUGGAGGCAGAGGGCCCAGAUUCGAUCCCUGGUCAAGGAAGUAGAUGCCAUAUGCUACAACUAAAGAUCC